rnacentral:rRNA from 1 species
UUGACCUCAAAUCAGGUGGGACUACCCGCUGAAYUUAAGCAUAUCAAUAAKYGGAGGAAAAGAAACUAACAAGGAUUCC